GCGGCCGUGACCCUGCUGGAGUGCGGGGGGGACCUCCAGCCCCCCGGGGGGUCCCUGACUCUGCUCUGCCGCGGGAACGGAUUCGAUUUCGGACAAUUUGGGAUGGGCUGGUAUCGCCAGAGCACCCAGAAAGGCCUGGAAUGGGUUGGAGAGAUCAGCACCAGUGGCAGCACCUACUACGCACCGUCAGUCAAGGGCCGGUUCACGAUUUCAAGGGACAACGGGCAGAGCUCGGUGACGCUGACCAUGAACAACCUCAAGUACGAGGAUUCCGCCGUUUAUUUCUGCGGCAAAGCUUCCUGUUCUGGUUGUAAUCCUCAAGCUGGUUAUGGUGACGGCCUCCAGUCCUGUCCGCCUUCCUCACUGGGACCCUAA